rnacentral:rRNA from 1 species
AAUGAACGUUGGCGGCAUGGAUUAGGCAUGCAAGUCGAGCGAGAAGUGUAGCAAUACACGGAAAGCGGCGGAAGGGAGAGUAAUACGUGGGAAUCUGCCCUUAGACCUGGGAUAGCAGCGGGAAACUGCUGGUAAUACCAGAUAAUGUCUAUGGACCAAAGGUGUGAUUCCGUCUAGGGACGAGCCCACGUCCUAUUUGCUAGUUGGUGGGGUAAUGGCCUACCAAGGCGAUGAUGGGUAGCGGGUGUGAGUGCAUGACCCGCCUCACUGGGACUGAGACACUGCCCAGACACCUACGGGUGGCUGCAGUCGAGAAUCUUCGGCAAUGGGCGCAAGCCUGACCGAGCGAUGCCGCGUGCGGGAUGAAGGCCUUCGGGUUGUAAACCGCUGUCGAGGGGGAGCAACUUCCAUAGAGUUAUCUUUAUGGAUUGAGUGAUCCCUGGAGGAAGGACGGGCUAAGUUCGUGCCAGCAGCCGCAGUAAAAC